rnacentral:rRNA from 1 species
AUAUUAGAAAGAAUACCAAUUGCGAAGGCAGCUUUCUGGAUCAUUACUGACACUGAGGAACGAAAGCAUGGGUAGCGAAGAGGAUUAGAUACCCUCGUAGUCCAUGCCGUAAACGAUGUGUGUUAGACGUUGGAAAUUUAUUUUCAGUGUCGCAGCGAAAGCGAUAAACACACCGCCUGGGGAGUACGACCGCAAGGUUAAAACUCAAAUGAAUUGACGGGGACCCGCACAAGUAGUGGAGCAUGUGGUUUAAUUCGAAGAUACGCGCAGAACCUUACCAACACUUGACAUGUUCGUCGCGACUUUAAGAGAUUAAAGUUUUCGGUUCGGCCGGACGAAACACAGGUGCUGCAUGGCUGUCGUCAGCUCGUGUCGUGAGAUGUUGGGUUAAGUCCCGCAACGAGCGCAACCCUCACUUUUAGUUGCCAUCAUUAAGUUGGGCACUCUGAAAGAACUGCCAGUGAUAAGCUGGAGGAAGGUGGGGAUGACGUCAAGUCCUCAUGGCCCUUACGUGUUGGGCUACACACGUGCUACAAUGGUAUCUACAACAGGAAGCAAAACGGCGACGUUAAGCAAAUCCUUAAAAGAUACCUCAGUUCGGAUUGUACUCUGCAACUCGAGUACAUGAAGCUGGAAUUACUAGUAAUCGUGGAUCAGCGUGCCACGGUGAAUGCGUUCCCGGGUCUUGUACACACCGCCCGUCACACCAUGGGAGUUGGUUCUACCUUAAGGCAAGGUUUAAAACCCUUGACCACGGUAUAGUCAGCGACUGGGGUGAAGUCGUAACAAGGUAGCCGUAGGGGAACCUGCGGCUG